rnacentral:rRNA from 1 species
UACAGAGGGGGCAAGCGUUGUUCGGAAUUACUGGGCGUAAAGGGCGCGUAGGCGGCCUGCUAAGUCGAACGUGAAAUCCCCGGGCUCAACCGGGGAACUGCGUCUGAUACUGGGUGGCUUGAAUCCGGGAGAGGGAUGCGGAAUUCCAGGUGUAGCGGUGAAAUGCGUAGAUAUCUGGAGGAACACCGGUGGCGAAGGCGGCAUCCUGGACCGGCAUUGACGCUGAGGCGCGAAAGCCAGGGGAGCAAACGGG